GUAGGUGGCAAGCGUUGUCCGGAAUUAUUGGGCGUAAAGCGCGCGCAGGCGGUUCUUUAAGUCUGAUGUGAAAGCCCACGGCUCAACCGUGGAGGGUCAUUGGAAACUGGAGAACUUGAGUACAGAAGAGGAAAGCGGAAUUCCACGUGUAGCGGUGAAAUGCGUAGAGAUGUGGAUGAACACCAGUGGCGAAGGCGGCUUUCUGGUCUGUAACUGACGCUGAGGCGCGAAAGCGUGGGGAGCAAACAGGAUUAGAUACCCUGGUAGUCCACGCCGUAAACGAUGAGUGCUAAGUGUUAGGGGGGUUUUCCGCCCCCCUUAGUGCUGCAGCUAACGCAUUAAGCACUCCGCCUGGGAGUACGGCCGCAAGGCUG
rnacentral:rRNA from 1 species